ACCCUCUCAGGGUCACAACUGGAGAGUUUCCAGUACUCUACCAGUCUUUAGCAUGGAAGGGAGAGUCAAGCAGAGACAUACCCAUUCUAUUCCUAGCUUAGCCAGUGGCUGGCGAGUGGAAGGCAACCUGCUACAAAU